GCAGUAGCCACGGGAAUACAGAGGGUGCGAGCGUUAAUCGGAUUUACUGGGCGUAAAGCGUGCGUAGGCGGCUAAUUGAGUCGGAUGUGAAAUCCCCGAGCUUAACUUGGGAAUUGCAUUCGAUACUGGUUAGCUAGAGUGUGGGAGAGGAUGGUAGAAUUCCAGGUGUAGCGGUGAAAUGCGUAGAGAUCUGGAGGAAUACCGAUGGCGAAGGCAGCCAUCUGGCCUAACACUGACGCUGAGGUACGAAAGCAUGGGGAGCAAACAGGAUUAGAGACCCCCGUAGUCCCUGUCUCUUAUAC
rnacentral:rRNA from 1 species